rnacentral:pre_miRNA from 1 species
GGGGGGAGGCCGAAUCCUGGGCUGUGUUCCGGUGCCCUGUGCUCCUGGGCCUGCGCUGUUGGAUUCACGCUCCCGCCCCGCAGCCCCCU